rnacentral:rRNA from 1 species
UGGGGGAAUCUUCCGCAAUGGGCGCAAGCCUGACGGAGCAACGCCGCGUGAGUGAAGAAGGGUUUCGACUCGUAAAGCUCUGUUGUCGGGGACGAAUGUGGAGAUGGUGAAUAACCAUUUUCAAUGACGGUACCUGACGAGGAAGCACCGGCUAACUCCGUGCCAGCAGCCGCGGUAAUACGGAGGGUGCAAGCGUUAAUCGGAAUAACUGGGCGUAAAGGGCAUGCAGGCGGUUCAUCAAGUAGGAUGUGAAAUCCCCGGGCUCAACCUGGGAACAGCAUACUAAACUGGUGGACUAGAGUAUUGCAGGGGGAGACGGAAUUCCAGGUGUAGCGGUGGAAUGCGUAGAUAUCUGGAAGAACACCAAAGGCGAAGGCAGUCUCCUGGGCAAAUACUGACG